AUGUUUAUGUCCCAAAUGGCACCCUAUUUCCUACAUAGUGCACUACUUUGGGUCCUGGUCAAAAGUAGAGCACUACAUAGGAAAUAGGGUGCCAUUUGGGAUGCAUCCCAUAUAAAUACUGUACAUAUCUGAGAGAGACUAAAAAGUGUGCUCAUUUGCACCCAGCACAAUCUCAACUGAAGCCUGAUGUGAGGGCAGGUGAGGUGAUGUGAGGUGAGGUGAGGUGAGGGCAGGUGAGGUGAGGUGAGGGCAGGUGAGGUAAGGUGAGGGCAGGUGAGGUGAGGGCAGGCCUGUCUUGGUUUGGACCUGUUCUACUGCUUCUGACCUACUGUUUUGAUGUCUCUAAUGUUCUUCUAAGCUGUUGAAAUAACAAGCUUUUCUAAUCAAAGUGCUUGUCUGUCGUGUAACUUUUCCAUAAGCACACAGCUCACACCUUCAAGAUAAUUCUCUGAGAUGAUCAUUUUCUCCAGUGUGAGGAUCAUCAAAGCAAGACAGUGCCGAUCUGAUGUUACUUCUUCAACUCAGCCCAUUUUGUUGUCAAUACAGAAGAUCAUUCAGUCACAUUUAUUCAUUCACUCAGAGGGAGAGAACAUUUCAACACUGCUUAUUCUACCACUCAUCUCAACAGUUUUUCUGUUGUAGAGUUAUGUUUUUGUUGAAAAGGUAACAGCAGCUACACCACAUUUACUUAAAGAGGAUCCUUUGAGCCAACAUCCUGUCAGCCGGCCCAUAAACACCUCAAGGGGACAGUUCAGCAGGCCGUAGGGAGGGGAGGGGGGUAAACAGGCCUGUAGCCCUUCCAGUCAAUACAAGCAGAGAAGAAGAGGGGGGAAGUCAGGAAGGGAGGGAGGAGGGGAGGAGGGAUACAGAGGCUAUUCUCCCUCUGAUGUAGUCCUGUUGACAAUGGGAGGAGGGCUUGACACCUUGCUCUUGGUUCUAGCAGGUAGAUUGCUCCUCCUGUCCUAUCCUCUCUAGCCCUGACUGGAGACUGAUGGUGGUGGGAGACAGAGGUUGUAUCCCAAAGUUCCUAUCUAGAACAUUACGUUUGACCAGGGCCCAUAGUGUCCUGACCUCUCCUGUCUUGAGGGGAGAUCUUCCCUCCCUGUGUCUCCUUGUCUCGCUCCCUCCCUGUCUUCUCUCCCUCCCUGUCUUCUCUCCUUCCCUCCCUGUCUUCUCUCCUUCCCUCCCUCCGUCUUCUCUCCUUCCCUCCCUCCGUCUUCUCGCCUUCCCUCCCUCCCUCCGUCUUCUCGCCUUCCCUUCCUCACUGUCUCCUCUCCCUCCCUGUCUUGUUCUCACCCUCCCUUCCUGUUCUCCCUCCCUCCUUCCCUCCCUGUCUUCUCGCUCUCCCUCCCUGUCUUCUCAUCUGCCCUCCCUUCCUGUCUUCUUCUCUCCUUCCCUCGCUCCCUGUUUUCUCUUCUCCCUACCUCCCUUCCCUCCCUCCCUUCCCUCCCUC
rnacentral:lncRNA from 1 species